AAUUCUAGAGAGGCUUUGCACAAUGUAAAUGUAAAACGAAAGUAACAAACUGAAUUUUGAUGAUUUUGCUUAUAUGAUUAAUGUAUACGUGUAAUGUGUGAUAUAUCUUAUAUCCUGAGACAAAGUUUUAUAUGAAUCUCUACAGGUCAUGAAAUCAUUUACAUGUACAUAAAUUGGAUGUAUGCACAUGUACACGUACACCACUUACGCCGGUCUAAGUAGAUGCAAUCUCAAUAAGGAACUAAUAGAUGCCGCUCCAAUAAUUUUGAAAAAGGAGAGAGGAUGAGGAAAAAAUGACAAAUUCAUGACGGUCGGUGAAAUAAAACAAAUUAUUUGCAGCUGAUCUUUGAAGCUUGUGUCAAUAUCAGUAACAUUGUAGCAGCGAACACAACUACGAUAUCUGUGGUCACUGGAGCAGCAAAAUAGAACUCAUAAAGCUAGCAUCAGCAAACAAGAAAAUUUCUGUGACAGCAACAACUGGGAUGGCAAGUAUACAGUUAGGAAUGGGUGCCACCACAUGACAUUACUGGAGUGGACCUUGCAUUGCCGCCACAGCAAUGAAAAACUACGUGAAGUUAUGAUGAGUGAUGAAAUUUGCAUCUGCUGAACAGAGGAUGUUGUUUAAGAAAGUGAUAUGAGAUUGAUCACUGUUCGUUAUCUUCAUCUUGCAUACAGUAGAAUCCUUGUGAAGAUUUGUCAGAGGAUAUAAUGGAGGAUUACAGGUAUUGUAGCUAAAGAAGUGCCAGACUCACCCGGAACAGAACUAAAACUGCUGAAAGCAGGCGUGGAUAUAGAUGCCAUCCAACCUCCAAGAGUCAUUCCGGCAGCUGGUUUAACCAGAGAGAGAAUGCAAUACUUGUUUAAAUUUAUUAGACCUUUUGUUAGGGCCCCGUAUAAGGACGCAGUCGCCCCCUCACCCGACGUCCAGGAAGUACAAAAGACUCUAAAAACUACCCUAUUUUGAAUAUAUCAUAAUCUAGGUAAUUGUUCGAAUGUUGAUAUAUGUCUACCUAUAGACGAAUUUGACUACACUUUUUUGGGACACUGUUUUUCCCUAAAAUACC